GACAAGUUCAACGGCCACGGUACCCUGACCGCGCGAAGGUAGCAUAAUCACUUGUUCUUUAAAUAAGGACUUGUAUCAACGGCACCACGAGGGUUAUACUGUCUCCUUUUUCUAAUCAGUGAAACUAAUCUCCCCGUGAAGAAGCGGGGAUACUACUAUAAGACGAGAAGACCCCAUGGAGCUUUAAACCCAACUACACUCCUAUCCCCAACAACCACUUAACUAAAAGGACACUGUAUGCUUGGUUUUAGGUUGGGGCGACCACGGAGUAAAAACUAACCUCCACGAUGAACGAGCCUAUUCCUCUUAUCUGAGAGCAACACCUCUAAGAAUUAGCACACUAACAUAAAAUGAUCCUUUUCUUGAUCAACGAACCAAGUUACCCUGGGGAUAACAGCGCAAUCCAUUUCAAGAGCCCAUAUCGACAAAUGGGUUUACGACCUCGAUGUUGGAUCAGGAUAUCCUAGUGGUGUAGCAGCUACUAAUGGUUCGUUUGUUCAACGAUUAAAAUCCU
rnacentral:rRNA from 1 species